rnacentral:misc_RNA from 1 species
UCACUUCAUUAAGAGGUGUGUAUCCAAGUAAUUCCCCAAGGAAAAGGGGUUUUCUGCUGGACUGAUGAGAGUCCUUUU